rnacentral:rRNA from 1 species
GGGUGCAAUCAUACCAAUGUUAAUGAACCAAAUCCCAUCAGAACUUCGCAUUUAAGUGUGCUUGGGCUAGAGUAGUAUUGGCAUGGGUGACCUCCCGAGAAGUCCUAUUGUUGCACCCU